AACGAACGCUGGCGGCAUGCCUAACACAUGCAAGUCGAACGGGAUCCAGGCUUCGGCCUGGUGAGAGUGGCGGACGGGUGAGUAACACGUGGGAACCUGCCUUUUGGUUCGGGAUAACCGCGGGAAACUGCGGCUAAUACCGAAUGCUCCCGAGAGGGGAAAGAUUUAUCGCCAGAAGAGGGGCCCGCGUCCGAUUAGGUAGUUGGUGGGGUAAUGGCCUACCAAGCCGACGAUCGGUAGCUGGUCUGAGAGGAUGAUCAGCCACACUGGGACUGAGAUACGGCCCAGACUCCUACGGGAGGCAGCAGUGGGGAAUAUUGGACAAUGGGGGGCAACCCUGAUCCAGCAAUGCCGCGUGAGUGAUGAAGGCCUUAGGGUCGUAAAGCUCUUUUGCCAGGGAAGAUGAUGACUGUACCUGGAGAAUAAGCCCCGGCUAACUUCGUGCCAGCAGCCGCGGUAAU
rnacentral:rRNA from 1 species